GCAUAUGAUUCUUGUCUACCUUUGAAGCCAAAAUAAAAAGAAAGACUCCAGCCCAUUUGGAGGGUUUUACUGCCCGACUCCAGUUGUGAGCUAAAUAGAUACACUGAAAAUGGGAAGGUCAAAGAGGUUUCAUUCACAACUAUGUACUGUCAUUCACCUGAAGACAUGCAAUGCAGUCAUCCUAUCUAUGAAUUCAGAAAUCCUGUUUCCUGCCCAGAUCCAAGAAACUACCCAAACCAUUCCUUGAUUGUUUGCAAGAAAACGAGCAGUUUCUAGAUUACCGAAGAGGAGCCCCUACAAAGCUGAAGCAAUUGUCAAUGAAGGCAAAUAUUUUCCCGCAUUUGUUCAUCCUCAGUUCUCAUUCAGGGAAGGAAAUCGUUGU